rnacentral:rRNA from 1 species
UACGAAGGGAGCUAGCGUUGUUCGGAAUCACUGGGCGUAAAGCGCACGUAGGCGGAUGUGUCAGUCAGGGGUGAAAUCCCGGAGCUCAACUUCGGAACUGCCUUUGAUACAGCACGUCUUGAGUCCGAUAGAGGUGGGUGGAAUUCCUAGUGUAGAGGUGAAAUUCGUAGAUAUUCGCAAGAACACCAGUGGCGAAGGCGGCUCACUGGCCCGGUACUGACGCUGAGGCACGAAAGCGUGGGGAGCAAACAGG